ACUGCUCAGUAACACGUGGAUAACCUGCCCUUGGGUCCGGCAUAACCCCGGGAAACUGGGGAUAAUUCCGGAUAACGCACAUAUGCUGGAAUGCUUUAUGCGUAAAAUGGAUUCGUCUGCCCAAGGAUGGGUCUGCGGCCUAUCAGGUAGUAGUGGGUGUAAUGUACCUACUAGCCUACGACGGGUACGGGUUGUGAGAGCAAGAGCCCGGAGAUGGAUUCUGAGACAUGAAUCCAGGCCCUACGGGGCGCAGCAGGCGCGAAAACUUUACAAUGCGGGAAACCGUGAUAAGGGGACACCGAGUGCCAGCAUCCUAUGCUGGCUGUCCGGGUGUGUAAAAUACACCUGUUAGCAAGGGCCGGGCAAGACCGGUGCCAGCCGCCGCGGUAACACCGGCGGCCCGAGUGGUGAUCGUGAUUAUUGGGUCUAAAGGGUCCGUAGCCGGUUUGGUCAGUCCUCCGGGAAAUCUGACAGCUUAACUGUUAGGCUUUCGGAGGAUACUGCCAGACUUGGAACCGGGAGAGGUAAGAGGUACUACAGGGGUAGGAGUGAAAUCUUGUAAUCCCUGUGGGACCACCUGUGGCGAAGGCGUCUUACCAGAACGGGUUCGACGGUGAGGGACGAAAGCUGGGGGCACGAACCGGAUUAGAUACCCGGGUAGUCCCAGCCGUAAACGAUGCUCGCUAGGUGUCAGGCAUGGCGCGACCGUGUCUGGUGCCGCAGGGAAGCCGUGAAGCGAGCCACCUGGGAAGUACGGCCGCAAGGCUGAAACUUAAAGGAAUUGGCGGGGGAGCA
rnacentral:rRNA from 1 species